rnacentral:rRNA from 1 species
UCUACGGGUGGCAGCAGUGAGGAAUAUUGGUCAAUGGGCGUAAGCCUGAACCAGCCAAGUCGCGUGAGGGAUGAAGGUUCUAUGGAUCGUAAACCUCUUUUAUAAGGGAAUAAAGUGUGGGACGUGUCCUAUUUUGUAUGUACCUUAUGAAUAAGGAUCGGCUAACUCCGUGCCAGCAGCCGCGGUAAUACGGAGGAUCCGAGCGUUAUCCGGAUUUAUUGGGUUUAAAGGGUGCGUAGGCGGCCGUUUAAGUCAGCGGUGAAAGUCUGUGGCUCAACCAUAGAAUUGCCGUUGAAAAUGGGGGGCUUGAGUGUGUUAGAGGCAGGCGGAAUGCGUGGUGUAGGGGUGAAAUGCGUAGAUAUCACGCAGAACCCCGAUUGCGAAGGCAGCCUGCCAGGCCAUGACUGACGCUGAUGCACGAAAGCGUGGGGAUCAAACAGGAUUAGAUACCCCUGUAGUC